CCUGUUGUAGUAACCAACCGCAUGCCGGCUUGCCAGCCAUUACUUCACUGCAGCAGCAAUCAGCCUUUUCGUAUUUAGUGAGCCAGACACACUAACCUGUCUGUCCCCUCCUCUUUUCUCUCUCACUCUCUCUGCAUAUUCAGCAGAGCUGCCUUCCUCUCGUCCUCAUCACUCUGCCACUCCUGCGGCGUUGCUCUUUGCUUGAAGGGGACACUGGCCUGCUCCUCACCCACUGAUUCUGCAUGACUGUCACAAAGAUGUCAUGGCGUCCAACCUACCGAAGCUCCAAGUUUCGAAAUGUCUACGGAAAAGUAGGCAACCGGGAGCACUGCUUCGACGGUAUCCCCAUCACCAAGAACGUCCAUGACAACCACUUCUGUGCCGUCAACUCCAAGUUCCUGGCAGUCGUCACGGAGAGUUCCGGCGGGGGCUCCUUCAUUGUUAUACCUGUGCCCCAGUCCGGCCGCCUGGACUCUCAUUACCCAAAAGUGUGUGGCCACCAAGGCAAUGUGCUGGAUAUCAAGUGGAAUCCCUUCUUUGAAAACAUCGUAGCAUCUUGCUCCGAGGACACCUCGGUGCGAGUAUGGGAGAUCCCAGAGGGCGGUCUGAGGCACAACAUGACGGAGGCAGUGCUGGAGCUGUAUGGCCACAGCAGACGGGUGGGUGUGAUCGAGUGGCACCCCACCAGCAGCGGCAUCCUCUUCAGCGCUGGCUACGACUACAAGAUCCUGAUCUGGAACCUGGAGAUCGGAGAGCCGGUGAAAAUGAUUGACUGCCACACUGACGUCAUCCUCAGCAUGUCCUUCAACACAGACGGUAGCCUGCUGGCCACCAGCUGCAAAGACAAGAAGCUGCGUGUCAUUGAGCCGCGCUCCGGGACCGUCCUUCAGCAAGCCAGUUAUAAGAACCACCGCGUGAACCGAGUGGUGUUCCUGGGCAACAUGAAGCGACUGCUCACCACAGGGGUGUCGCGCUGGAACACCCGGCAGAUCGCUCUCUGGGAUCAGGAGGAUUUGUCCAUGCCAAUUGUGGAGGAGGACAUAGACGGCCUCUCAGGACUGUUGUUUCCCUUCUAUGAUGCUGACACACACAUGUUGUACCUGGCAGGCAAGGGGGACGGCAACAUCCGUUACUUUGAGAUUACCACAGAGAAGCCGUACUUACAAUACCUAAUGGAGUUCCGGUCCCCGGCCCCACAGAAAGGACUCGGUGUGAUGCCAAAGCACGGGCUGAAUGUGGGAGCUUGCGAGGUGUACCGCUUCUACAAGCUCGUCACCCUGAAGGGUUUGAUCGAACCCAUUUCAAUGAUUGUGCCGAGAAGAUCGGACACAUACCAGGAGGACAUCUACCCCAUGACGGCAGGAACUGAACCUGCGCUGUCUGCAAGUGAAUGGCUGAGUGGCAUUAAUAGAGACCCAGUCUUGAUAUCCCUGAAGGAGGGUUACCAGCGGCCACACCAAUUAGUGUUCAAGGCACCAGUGAAGGAAAAGAAGAGUGUCGUAGUGAAUGGGAUUGACCUGCUGGAGAACAUACCACCCAGGACAGAGAACGAGCUCCUGCGGGUGUUCUUCCGGCAGCAGGAUGAAUUGCGGCGGCUGAAGGAGGAGCUGACCACCAAGGAUGUGCGAAUACGCCAGCUGGAGCUGGAGCUCAACAACCUGAAGAACGUUAGCCCCAACAACGUCUGACCUCUCAACCUCGUGGACUGGCAAAGCUGCUUCCUUUGCCGCCAACUCUGACCUCCAACAAGCUUCUGAGCCCUCCUACGCCUCUUUUUUGAUAUAUCAUAACUUCAUUCCUGCUGCCCUGUAUAGUGCACACAAUAAUAUGAUAUGUGUUGGAUAAUGUCUUACCUGGUGAAAUUACUGGAAUAUUGUAAUAAUGACAAAUAUGAUCAGUAAUGGAGACAAGGCAGUGUUCAUGGAUUUCCACCUUAACAUAAGAUUGUUGAUGGAAGGUUUGUGAUUCAAUCCAUUUAGUUAUUGUAUAUGUUUGUACAACUUAUUCUUGAUCUAGCACACUCAAGUGUUGUGAUCAGUUAAUGCAUAUUUUCUGCCAGACCUCCUGAGUGUCUCACUGUGCCUACCUGUCAACCACGUUGCAAUACCUUGAUCACCACGCAAAAAGGAACCUACACUCAUCCUCCGAUAAUGAUCAAACCACCAUCUAAAAACUGGAAGAAAAGACUGUCACAGUGGCUCCUAUUUUCCUUCUAAAAGGCCUUACACCCUGCUGCAGACACAGUUUGCAGCGAGCUGCAGAAUAAUCUCAAAAUGGCUGACACGUGAAGUAUUUUUGCACCUGACUGACAGUGGAUCAUGUUUUUCCCAGAGCUGCUUAUCCCGUUGCUUUUUUCUCACCGACAGAUGUUGCUGGCUAUGAAUUCACAUCACAAUACUGACAUAUAGCUACCCAAAAGCAGUCUUUCUUCCCAAGGAGAGUGGAUAGUUCACUCACUUUUAGUAUUUUAUUCUUUAUUUCAAUAGUGAGAAACUCCAAUAUAGUCUCAAGGGAAGCUUUGCUGGCUGUUGUUUUGAGGAGGGGAGGGGUAAUGUACAUUUGCUUAUUAUUUAUUUGUCACUUGUUAUUGUUUUAGCUAAUAACAUGUAUAUUUGUUAAUCCCAUUGUUUUUGUAUGAUGUGGCUGCACAAGUAAUGAUUGUGAUGCUUGUUAGAGUUUGCUGAAUGUUUCUGGUUGAAAUGGUGCAAGAUUUAUGUGAAACUGUACCUUUUAUAUGGUAUUAGUUCUUUGACUCCAACAACAUAACUUCAGAUAAGGUAUACAAAUAUAAUCUUGCCUUUUCCUAAACAGUGCAGAAAACUUUAAUAAUAACUGUCCUUUUAAACUAAGUAUAUCACCAUUAGUGAGUGAGAUGUGCUUAACUGUAGAUGUGUCAUUUUGCUCUAGAGACUCCAGGUCAUCUGCAUAUCCUUCUCCCAGGUUCCAUCAACAGAUUUAGGCUAAGUAGCAGUUUAUAUGUGUUUGUUUUAACAAUUAACAGUUUUUUCCUUUAGUCUAAAAUUCAAGGGAAAUGGGCACUGGAUUAAUAUUUGAUUGGCUUUAUUAUGCCAGUGAGGUUCAAGCCGGUAACAAGUUCUGCUAAACAUGCCAUGUGUCUUUUAAUCCAGGCCCGAUCACAUUCAGCCUUGAUGUAUUACCGAUUCUGCUCGGAACGGACUUAGAAAAGGAAAAAGAUUAAUCGGCUGCAUGCAUAGGAAAAAUGUCAAAAGAAAAAUAGAAAGCUACAGUGAAAGUAGGCAGUGGGAAAAGGAACUACCAGAGACAGACCACCUACAGUGGAGAGGCAGGUGAAGAUAGACUGGAGCUGUGUAACGUCAGGGCUUCUCGUGUACGUGAACUGAGAACUACUACUUGAUAAAUCUUUGAGAAGACAGAAUAACAAGAUAGAAAGGUUUUUUAAAUGAUUAAAAACUCCUUGUACAGAUAUUGAAUGGCAUUUUGGCUUUGACAAGUGUUACCAUGACAGUUCCACCAAAGUUGUUUGGCACCGAACUUGAUUAAAGUUUUAGACAUCAAAGUACACCCCAGUUUAAAAUUGCUUAGCUUGAUCUUGGAUUGUAAGUCUUGUUCAAUAGUGUAAACUGUAUUACAUCUCAGUGGUUCCCCAUCAUCAUUAAUAAUUGAUGACCUGAAACUGGAAUCCUGUUCAACACUUUAACAUUUGACUGGACAAUGUUGCACAAGGACCACAAACGCAAAAACAUAUAUAAAAGGGAUUUAUUGAAGUGAAUGGGAGGGAAAAGAAACAAUUUGGCUGAUGACAGUGGAUUUAACAUGGAGUGAAAAAUCACUGAGGUAGGCCAAUUUGACCAGUACGUAUAAUAGUGAAAACAAAGUCCAAAUAACUGACUGUUUUCCAGAGUUUACACUUUGAAACAAUACAUUUUCGAUGCACAUAAGUUGCAGUUGUAACCUCAUGUAUUUCUCUACACUACCACCACAAAUUCAAACAUUGCCACCUGUGUGUCACAGAAAGAAAACAUGGGAAAAGCAAUAAUGAGUUUUGAUGUUGAACAUUUCUCUUUAUGGAAAGAUUACGCAUACAAAGUUAUGUUCAAAUUCAAGAAAUUUCACACUGCGUAUUUUAGAUAAAAGCAGCAUACAUAUUUAAUAUCUUAUUACAAGUCAAAGUUUCACCUCAGAUGUCUGUUCAAUGUCUGCCAUCAUCAAAGAGAAUACAAAAAAAUAGAUUUGGUCAUUAUUUACAAGAACACGUAAUUUCCGAACUAUCAAAGCUGAGGGUUUAAGGAGGAGGAGCGGCUUUGACAAGGGCAGACAUUUUUUUGCUAGGAUUUAAAAAUAUGCCCUGUGAGGGUCACACUGUGCAUGUUCAGACAGAAGUUUCACACCAGGACAGCAGAGAGUAUUGGCAUACUGGUGACACUACAAAUACAUAACUUACAUAAACAAAAAGUUCAAUGCAAAAAUAAAGUUUAAGACGAAGAGAGGACAGCCAUACAUGAAAUCCAGUAGUUGACUUUAUAAUGUAUUAUACAUGCACUCUUUUUGUUUAAUUUUGGGUUUUUUUCUUUUGAAGGGGG